UACGGAGGGUGCGAGCGUUAAUCGGAAUCACUGGGCGUAAAGCGCGCGUAGGUGGUUUGAUAAGUAGACUGUGAAAUCCCCGGGCUUAACCUGGGAACUGCAGUCUAAACUGUCUCACUCGAGAUCAGUAGAGGGAGGUGGAAUUCCUGGUGUAGCGGUGAAAUGCGUAGAUAUCAGGAAGAACACCGGUGGCGAAGGCGACCUCCUGGACUGCAUCUGACACUGAGGUGCGAAAGCGUGGGUAGCAAACAGG
rnacentral:rRNA from 1 species